rnacentral:rRNA from 1 species
AGCAAGUCGAACGAACUCUGCUGAUGAUUGAAGCUUGCUUCAUGAAUCAGAUUUGAGUGAGUGGCGGACGGGUGAGUAACACGUGGGUAACCUGCCCAAAAGUGGGGGAUAACAUUUGGAAACAAGUGCUAAUACCGCAUAACAACUACUUUCACAUGAUCGUAGCUUGAAAGAUGGCUCUGCUAUCGCUUUUGGAUGGACCCGCGGCGUAUUAGCUAGUUGGUGAGGUAAUAGCUCACCAAGGCAAUGAUACGUAGCCGACCUGAGAGGGUAAUCGGCCACAUUGGGACUGAGACACGGCCCAAACUCCUACGGGAGGCAGCAGUAGGGAAUCUUCCACAAUGGGCGAAAGCCUGAUGGAGCAAUGCCGCGUGAGUGAAGAAGGUUUUCGGAUCGUAAAACUCUGUUGUUGAAGAAGAACAUGCGUGAGAGUAACUGUUCACGUACUGACGGUAUUCAACCAGAAAGCCACGGCUAACUACGUG